GCAACCCAUAGCUCUGCCAGCGACCUACACUGAUUCCACUCCCUACAGCUUCACCAAAAUAGCCUCAAAACUACGACUAGAGCCAUGCAACAAAGGCCAGCCGUCACAGCUUAAGGGUGAGCCUGUUCCUCUGUUUAUGACUGACUGCACAGUGAAAAUACUGACAUGAACAAACUAAACAUGGAAAGGAAAGGUGCUUCUUUUCACCUCCGUAACUCUCCUACAACUCAGUGCCGCUAAAUAUAUCAGAAGAUGCAAAACGAGUAGAUAAGACAACAGAAAAUUUCUCACUAUAAAAUGAAUCUCCUCAAAUACAAGAAAUCAAAAGAUAAAGGAUCCCAGAAUGGGUCAUGUUGGAAGGGACCACAGUGGAUCAUCUGGCCCAGCAUCCCUGCGCAAGCAAGGUCACCCCAGAGCACGUGGGACAGGACUGUGUUCAGACAGUUCUUGAGUAUCUUCAGUGAAGUAGACUCCAAAACCUAUUUGGCCAUGAAUGAAAGUUGCCAUGGCAUUGCAUAGACCUUAAGUUUAUGAGGAAUUUUAGAAUCUUGCUUUCCAGUUCUACAUUUUCAACUCUGGAUUAGGCUAUUUUCUCUUUGAAAAAGAUAAUCCCAGUGGAGUAAUAGAAUUUCAUCAUCACUUUAAUUAUUUGUUGCUUUUCUGCAAUUUUCUUACUAAAAUUACCUGUGUUAGCUCUCUAAGCAUCUGAACUGUUAUUGUUAAUCAGCUAUAUGUAAAAAAACAUUCUCAUACAAGUUACUCUUUGCAGUAUUUCUUUUUUCACCUGUGCUAUGACACAAUGCAGCACUAUGACAUGGAAAGAUGUAAAAUAUCCUUUUGUGGCUAAAAAUAUACCUAUGUUCUCCUUUUGUUAGCUUUCCCUUUCUUUUUCUUCAUUCUAAACUACAAGACAUUUUGACUUAUAAUUGAAUUUUUACUGACAUGUUUGUUUUAUGAUAUUUGUUUCUUAAAUCUCUUUCAGAACUCUGUAGAGCUGGUAUACACAUCAGUGCCUCUUCAAAGUAACAAAAGUGCAAUCCAGUGGAAUUAAAUGCAGCUGAGUUUUGAUGCUAAAAUAAUCUUGUAAAUACAGCUUCAUUGGAAAGCAGUGGCAAGAAAAUCUCAGGAGGCUCAAGCAAAAUCUGUUUGGUUCAAAGAAGCAUCCUAAUUUUUUUUUUGCUUUUCUACUGAAAACUGUGCUCCUUUUUCCUCCUUCUCCAUGCAGAAGUUGUUCAUUUAGAACAGGCUAGUUUUGCUCCUGAAGACAGAGAAGAGCGCUUCCUGAUGGUCCAGAGAGAACAGCAGCAUUUUUUCUCACAGUAAAGACUGUGAGGUACAAAGAGGAUGACUUUGUCAUGAACAAUUUGUGGAGAAGAGUUGCGAGCAUGUAGAAAGAACACAAAAUAGGACAGUGUCUUAUCAUCAGAUAUACAGGAACAAUAUUCUUAGUUCUACAGGACCCCAGUUCUCACACACAGCCUGAGACAGUGAUUCUCUGUCAGAAAUUCAGGAAAAAAAGUAUUUUCCUUGCUCCUCCCCAUUCAACACAACAACUCAGUACAAUCAAUAUCCAAGUAGGCCGAAGGCUGGAAAACUUAACAGCUCAGACAUAAAUGUUCAUCCCAAGCCCUUCCCACCUGCCAUGAUUACUAUCAGUCAUUCUUACUGAUUAAGAAUAAACAUUUCUUACGUGUAGCUGUGGGGGAAACGUAUUUCCUGGGAGACAUCCAGAGAGGAACUUACUUGGCAAAUAUUUCUCUCCAGAAAUAACUUCUUAGCUACUAACAAAUAAAGUGGGCCAGGUCCCAGUCUCCAGCCUGGAGGACAAGUGGCACAGAAUGGAGGUUAGUGGCCUUGAGUCCACACUUAAGUGUAGGCCCUGGCUCCAUUUAGUUUAUAUGGAUGUAGCCCGGGAGACUCCAAAGGAACAGUACAAUUCUAAAGAAUUUCACUGACAUUAAAUUACUUAGUCAGUGAACUAUUAUGUCAAUUUCCUAUGUAUUAGAUAUUUAUUUUUUCAUGUAUAAGAUCCAUGGUAGGUCAAUUUAAAAUAGAGUGAGACAUAUUGCACGUUUCCCAGAAGUCUUCACUGGAAUGUAUUUUAGUUUCAAAAAAAUUAAGUCCAAAACAGAGAAAGAGCUAUCAAAAACCCUGAGAAAAGUUUUCAAAAAGGCAAAUGUUAAGUUUUACCUUUGCAACACAAUUUGCACACUGUUCCCCUAAAUUUAUAUUGAGAUCUCUCCCUCCAUUAAUGAGCACACAUCUAUGCAUAUACUCAUGGUAAACUAGAAAAGAAAGGAAGACUGUUGGGAGAGGCACAUAUUUUCAACAUCUGGAUUUGAUUCAAAGGAAGGGGAAAAUCAAGAAAACAGGGUCACAAUAAUGGCUCAAAGAACAGAGGGGGGAAUACGAGGGACAUCUAGAAGAAAAUACUAUUUUUGAUGCAAAUAACCAUUAAUUAGAUAGCAUAGUUCACAAAUAGAUUCAUUAGAGAACUGGAUCCAAUCAGUAAGAAAUACUUCCAAGGUUUGUUGCUCUGCAACUUGUGUUCUUGAACAAAAUGGGAAAGUUUGGAGUGCUACAUGAUGAAUAAAACCAUUGCAAAAAAGCAAAAUAGAUUGAAACAGCAAUCAGGGCUGGAACAUAUACCAAAAUGCAUGUGUUCUUCAGGAAAAACAAAAAUAGACAGAAAGGGGUGUCUGAUGACGUUAUAGACUGUGAAAACAUAAAAAGGGAUAGGUUGGCUAAAACAUUCAGGUCAUGUCAAAAUAAUAGACAUAGGGGGAUAAAAAAUGAAGUGUGCUGGAGCAGUCAUAGAAAUUAUUCCUUAAAUCUCCACAAUUUUAUUGGGACUUGGAGGGAAUUGAGGGGAAGUCACCAUUAUUUAAGGAGGCAGAAGAGGUAAAUUGAUCCAGACAAUAAUUCUUCUAUUAAUUCAAUGUUUAAAUACAUAUACAGAUAUAACAGAAAAAUUGGGAUAAAGCUUACAAUGGUUGAUGUAAGGUAAUUUAUGCCAAGCUAAUUUAUUUGACAAUAUGGCUGAUUUUAAGCAAAGGAAAUUACUGAAUCAUCUAACUGCACAUCAGCAUAUAUAUAUGUGUGUGUGUAUGUUACCUUGUUACAGCUGGAAAAAUAGGAAUUAGUAAAAGGACUGCAAAUUAUUUAAGGAAAUACUAAAAGGGAUUUAAUGACAGUAUUGAAGGGACAUCUAAUGAAGUGAAGGAAGCUUGGUAAUGAAGCUCCUCUUAGAUCAGUCUGCAAAACUCCUCUAACUUCAUUACUGAGAAUGAAUAUGACAUCAGUAGAAACACACAUGGAAGUCUCCAGAUGACACAAAAUUAGGAGAGCACCAGUAGAAAAAAAAUCAAAAUAUCAUCCUGGUAAAAUAUGAUAGUCUGCGUAAGCAAAGAUAAUGAAGAGAAAGUAGUACUAUCAACUACGAGAUAACAGUGGGAAAAAAAAGUACAAGUUGAAACUUAAGCACAAAGAAGAGAAAAAGUAAAAAACCCUGAAAAGUAUAAACUGAUUGGAAAAUGUACUUUCACUAACUAAUUACAUGUAAAUAUGAAAACAAGCUAUACAGUUGCAGAAUAUAAACAGGAUUUUUUUUCCAGAUAAUAUUAAUGUCAUUUCAGAGUGAAACCUCACCAGAACAGUAAUUCUGAUUUCAUUCAGGGAAGAUUUAAUUUAAACUGGAAAAAGGACAGGGAAGGGCUAUAGGAAUGACACUGGGAAUGAAGUGUGUACAUUCAAAGAGAAUAAAAGACAUUGGCUUGGUCUACCCUGCCAAGACUGAAUAGGAAUAUGACUCUUCUGUAAAAAUAUAAUCAGCAAAGCAUAUACACUGGAGAUGAACUAUUGAAGUCAAAAAGACAACAUUGGCACAAGAACAAAUAAGUAUAAAACAGUAAUAAAUAUUUUUAUGCGGCAAAUUAGAAGAUUUGUAACUCCCAGGGCAAUAACACUAUUGAACAGCCAACUGGAGUCCUGAAGGACAAAAAUAAUUAGCUCAUGUUAAGACACCGCUUUAUCAUUUUAUAUUAUAAUAUAUAGUGACAGUAGCAGACCGGACUUAGAGAUUCCCUAGGCCCUCAUGUGUUCUAUAUACCCAUCUCAGAAGGGUUGCAGAGCUCUUCUUAGCCUGUGGAAAGAUGGUGGGACUAUGCCAGUGAUAAGAACAUUAAGAUAAAGACAGGAAAUAUUAACUUGGCACAGAGCCACCCUAAGAAACAAACUAUUGGUUCCAAGCUGGGCCAAGCUCCACUAUAUGACCUUAUGCACCUCAGAAAAUGGGGAAAAUCCUUUUUGAUUGUGCAUGUCCAUAUGGAGGUAUAUUUCAAGAUGGUUCUGGCCAUGGAAAAGAGCAAAUAGAAAUAUGAAUACAUUUUGACUCAGUCCCUCAGGAUAACUCCCUUCCUUGACUCAAGUUACCUAAAGGUUAAGCUCAGAACAACAUUGCAGAGCCCAGCAUUCCUUUCACUUGCACAGCAGAACCAUUCCUUCUUAGUUAGAUAUACACUGCCUGCUCCACUCCUGUUUAAAUACUUAUGCACUUCUUUCUUUCUUUUAACUUUAUAAUGCACUCGUGCCUUCCGGUGCUGGCACCUGCACUGCUGUAUGGUCAAACUGUUGAUUUACAUGCAGAGACUUCCAUAACAUCCAUUUUAAAAUAGAUGUUUUAUGUUGGUUGGUUUGGGGUAGUUUUUUGGGUUUUCUUUGGCUGGUUGGUUUUUUUGUUGUUGUUUUUUUUUGUCUUGUUUGGUUUUUGGGGUUUUUUGAUUGGCUGGUUGGUUUGCUUAUUUGUUUUUAAAAUAGUUAUCUUCGAAUAUAACAGAGUUUGUCCAAAGUGGUUUUCCUUUUAUGAACUUCAAGCAUGUGGCAGUGAUCAAAUGGGUACAGCUGUCCUUUAAGGACAUUGGCAAUUAUUGUCAUCAUACCUCCUGUUAGGCAGUUCAAAUUGCUUAAAACUUUGAUAAUGAUUACUUGACUGCAUUUAAAUGAAGGUCGUUUACCCUUCCAUUCCCUACUUAUAUAGCAUCUUUCGUGCAACGCGCCUCAAGGCCCUUUCCAAAGAACACUAAUCAGUACACAACAUUAUACUGAAGCAAAUAACCUUGUCACAAAUUCCAUUACACAGUAAAAGCUAAAUAAAAAAUAAUAGCUUUCCUGUCUAUAUUUAAAAAUAUAUAUCCACUUAGUGUCAAGCUUUUCAAGUAGAAGAGAAUGCCACAGAAGAGAACAAAUCCUACUGCACGGCAAGAAAAUGAAAAGUGAACUAUUGCUACAAAAUAGCUACCAAUACUUGUCCUACCUUACCAAUACAAUGGGCAAUUCCAAAAAUGAGUAUUCUUAAAUGCUGCCUCAUUUUAAAUUCAAGAAUUUUCAAUGGGAAUUUCA